CAUGAUACUACGGAUUUUACCCGAAAGCUUGAAAUGAUGGGCGAUAUUCCCGAUGGCUCCUUGAUGUGUACCAUGGAUGUCAACAGCCUAUAUACCUCCAUACCGCAUGAGGAAGGUAACGUGGAUGAUUUAAUGGUUUUCAAACAGAGACUUGAUGGGUGUUAGGACAUCAUCUCCUUUACGUUGGAAUAUGAUCUCCAUGACAUCCAUUUCUUGGAUGUUAAUCUACAGUGGCACAAGAGCCUAAGGGACCAUCUAAUGAAGAAUGUCAAUCUACAGGGGAAGACGGAUACAGCUG